GCCAACCACUGAUCUAGUGUAAUCAAUUAUAUCAGUAUUCAAUAUCCAUUAUAUAGCAAGCCCUAUUCAGCUAAAUGCUGGGAAACCAAAGAUGAAUAUAACAUAGAACCCACUACGGAGGAUAGAUGAGGUAAUCCUAUACAUAAAAACCUAAUAUGCUAAGUGUCUGGUGGUCCGUUCAACCAAUCAAAGCGUAAAUAUGUAAGGCCGCUCAACUGCUUGCUAUGACACGCACUGACUACCAGGGGGCAGA